rnacentral:rRNA from 1 species
GACAGAGGUCCCGAGCGUUGUUCGGAUUCAUUGGGCGUAAAGGGUGCGUAGGCGGCCUAUUAAGUCAGGGGUGAAAUACGGUGGCUCAACCAUCGCAGUGCCUUUGAUACUGAUGGGCUUGAAUCCAUUUGAAGUGGGCGGAAUAAGACAAGUAGCGGUGAAAUGCAUAGAUAUGUCUUAGAACUCCGAUUGCGAAGGCAGCUCACUAAGCUGGUAUUGACGCUGAUGCACGAAAGCGUGGGGAUCGAACAGG